rnacentral:rRNA from 1 species
CACGUAGGAGGCGAGCGUUGUCCGGAAUCAUUGGGCGUAAAGAGCGUGUAGGCGGCUUGGAAGGUCAGCUGUGAAAACUCGAGGCUCAACCUCGAGACGUCGGUUGAAACCACCUGGCUAGAGUCCGGAAGAGGAGUGUGGAAUUCCCGGUGUAGCGGUGAAAUGCGCAGAUAUCGGGAAGAACACCCGUGGCGAAGGCGGCACUCUGGGACGGUACUGACGCUGAGACGCGAAAGCGUGGGGAGCGAACAGG